rnacentral:lncRNA from 1 species
GUUUCUUUGUGGUUUGUUGCUAGUGAGGCUCUAUCUUUUGAGAAACUAUCUAGAUGGCAGAGUCUCUGCCUGGUGGGAAAAGGUUUUCAGUGCUUGUCUAUUGAUCUCAUGGUUUUGUUGCACUGGGAGAAGGAAACAGUGUGCAUGUUUAUAUGCUUAGAAGCAAAGAGAGGUUUCCUUUUCCCUGCUUUCUUAAAGGACAGCUGUAAGCAGCACUUUGAGUUAAACUUGGAGAAAAUGUUAUGGAAUAAAUCCCUCCAGUGACCACCAGCCAAUGGAAAACAAAGGAUAAUUUUCAAGGCAGUGGAGGGAAGCUGAGACAUGCAUCUGCUGGAUGUAACACAUGGAUAUGGACACUGCUCCAUCUGGCAGUAUUGCACUCUCCUCUCCUUGUAAAAUCUGGUCAAUGGAGAGUUUCUAAAGAGGUGAGAUGUAAAGGAAAAAUUGUUGCCACAAAGUCAUUUUCCAGCCUGUUCAGAAAAUAUAAAGCAAAACAUAGUGAUUCGUUGCAAGACAAGGAGAGAUGGGUCCAAAUCUGUUUUUCAUAUACAAAUCUCAGAAUUCCUCUCUUAGGUCUACAAAGAAAUCUUAAAGGUUUAUGAAUAUUUAUUAAAAAAAACAAAACAAGAAACUGUCAGCAGGCAUCUACCUUUCAUCAUCACCUACAGCAAAUCUAAUUCAGUCCAUGAUAUUUCAAAAGAAUUUCUCACUGAAGUAUUUGAAAUACAUUACAUAACUAGGAGUGAGGAAGGGCCAUGAGUACUAACAGUACAAUGAGGUCAACAUCUUUCACUUCCUUUUAAUAAAAUACUAUAUUUUGCUUGUUAUGUGGAGUUU